rnacentral:rRNA from 1 species
AUGGGCGCAAGCCUGAUCCAGCAAUGCCGCGUGUGUGAAGAAGGUCUUCGGAUUGUAAAGCACUUUCGGCGGGGACGAUGAUGACGGUACCCGCAGAAGAAGCCCCGGCUAACUUCGUGCCAGCAGCCGCGGUAAUACGAAGGGGGCUAGCGUUGCUCGGAAUGACUGGGCGUAAAGGGCGCGUAGGCGGAUGGUACAGUCAGGCGUGAAAUUCCUGGGCUCAACCUGGGGGCUGCGUUUGAUACGUAUUGUCUGGAGUUCGGAAGAGGGUCGUGGAAUUCCCAGUGUAGAGGUGAAAUUCGUAGAUAUUGGGAAGAACACCGGUGGCGAAGGCGGCGACCUGGUCCGAUACUGACGCUGAGGCGCGAAAGCGUGGGGAGCAAACAGGAUUAGAUACCCUGGUAGUCCACGCUGUAAACGAUGUGUGCUGGAUGUUGGGUGACAUAGUCACGCAGUGUCGUAGCUAACGCGAUAAGCACACCGCCUGGGGAGUA